AAGUUGAAGUCUGCAGGUUUGGCCAAUGCAAACAAGUGGAGCAUGUAGAUCACAUGGCAACGACCGUGUCUGAAAAGUAUGAAGUGGCUGAGUGGCAUAAAAAAUGCUGUAUUUCCAAACAGAAGACCGCACUUACUCUCAAGGCCGCCACGCUUUGAUGGAGCCAAGGUCACACGCACAAAUGCCUCUAUGCAAUACAGGCUACUUGCAAUAUCGCUAGCCAUGGCACGACUUCAGGUGAAUCACCUAAUGCCGAAUAUGCAAACGUGCCACUGGAAUUCAUCUUUUGGUGGCACAGCCACAGUUACUUUUAAAAUUUCACACAUCAACUGAGCAGUCUCUGCAAUUAUGUUGCUACAUGUAGUUAGAGAACAGUUAAAAAGGUGACUCAAGAAUGCAGCGGAAAUAUGCUUCAAUUUCACCAAUGUCAAUGCAAUUGUUUUUACACAUAACUGGUGCCGUCCUGAAAGUGGAUGAAUUUUUGUGUAGCACGUCACACGAGCAUUCAGAACAUCGAAUGAUGGCAGGCCCGUGAAUGUAUUUACGUUGCUACUAUUUAUCGUGUUCACAAACUUCUGUGGAAAAGUACCCGAUGUCACUUGGGCAGCCUUGUCCGUGAAGCCGUUUCUAGUAGGAAAUUUGCCACGUCUUUUUCUUCUCUUGAGUACUCUGCCAUUAUGUCUGGAAGUCAGGUUGGCAAGCACAUUCCUGUCACAAAACAAAAGCAAGAGUUGUAAUGUCUGACAUAUCUGACGCGAAAUGCAGCUUCUUUUUGUCAUUCCAAUAAUGCACGUCAAUGUAUUAAAUUCAAUGUUGGAAGUAGGAAAGCCAGGCUUUUUGCAUCAGUUAAUUUGCACCCAUCACACACCACAAUCCUUUCACGAAGUUAAUCCAGAAAACAUGCUGCCGGCUAGGUAAAGACAGCUACCACAUCACAAAUAUAUAGAAAAAAUAAAUUGCCAUAUUUGCUAUGUCCUUGUCCCUUAUGGUGUUUGCAAGGCUUUCGUCCAUGCUGUUAGGGGAUGGGAAAUCGUCCUGCAAUGUCAGGUAGAGUUCAGUUCAAGAAACCAGUGGUUAAGCAAUGUGUGCACAAGUUGCAAUUAAUGUGCACCCAUCACACACCACGUACUACAAUGCUUUUACGAUGUAAAUCCAGAAAGCAUGCCACCGUCUAGGUAAAGACAGCUACCACAACACAUACAUAUACAAAAAGAAAUUACCAUAUUUCCAUUGUCACUUAUUUGGUCCAUGCUGUUGCGGUCAGGGGAUGGGAGAUCGUCCUGCAAUGUCAGAGUUUAAUCCCAAGGAAUUAGUGGUGAAGCAAUGUGUGCACAAGUUGCAGGCAGCCAAUUUACCAUGGUGGUCGUGCUGACAGGUGCAUGGGGCAACACCUUUGCUUCUAAUGGGGAGGCAACAGUUUCUUUGCUUGAUUCAUUCUGUAAUGCAUUAAAAGGUGUUGACAUCUAUUGCAUGCUUGUAGACAUGGUGUAUGUACCAUAAGCAUAUAAGUGCUGCACCAUGUAGUCAAAUUAACUUACUCUGGCUGACCGAUACACACGUCGGCGAAGUCUUGCCAGUGAAAGCUCUUUCAUAUGAGCAUCCUUGUUCUCAUCAUAACAUGACGUCCUUGGCAGGUUUUCAGUUGGUACUGCAUUUUUUUCAGCCACUGUCUUUGACAUGCUACAUCUGAAAAAAGAAAUGAAUUGUUUAUGCUUUA